rnacentral:snRNA from 1 species
AGUCUCAUUUGCAGUGUCUUUUGGCUUUGGACUAAUACCAUGCUAAGAUCAAGUGUAGUUAUAUGGUGAGGCUGUCCCUUGCACUCUGAGCAGGCUGACUCUUGCAAGUUUCCCCAAACGUCGAAAUGUGACUGUACAAUUUUGUGCCAAGAGGGGACUGCGCUUGUGCUUUCCCCCA